AACGAACGCUGGCGGCAUGCCUAACACAUGCAAGUCGAACGAAGGCUUCGGCCUUAGUGGCGCACGGGUGCGUAACGCGUGGGAAUCUGCCCUUGGGUUCGGAAUAACUCAGAGAAAUUUGAGCUAAUACCGGAUGAUGACGUAAGUCCAAAGAUUUAUCGCCCAAGAAUGAGCCCGCGUAAGAUUAGCUAGUUGGUGGGGUAAAGGCCUACCAAGGCGACGAUCUUUAGCUGGUCUGAGAGGAUGAUCAGCCACACUGGGACUGAGACACGGCCCAGACUCCUACGGGAGGCAGCAGUGGGGAAUAUUGGACAAUGGGCGAAAGCCUGAUCCAGCAAUGCCGCGUGAGUGAUGAAGGCCUUAGGGUUGUAAAGCUCUUCUACCAGGGAUGAUAAUGACAGUACCUGGAGAAUAAGCUCCGGCUAACUCCGUG
rnacentral:rRNA from 1 species